rnacentral:lncRNA from 1 species
GGAAAGGGAACUUGACAAGGUUAAUCUGUCUUCAGAUUACCAGAUGGUACUGGUCACAAAAGGAUUUAAAUUGUCCUGUCAGUAUGUGUUCCAUGUGGCAUGGAAAUUUGAAAAAAAAAAAACAGAUAUUGAAAGAUGCGGUGAAGACCUGUCUGGAAAAUUACCUGCAACCAGAUAUAAAUUCCGUUUUUUUUCCUACCCUUGGGACAGGACCCAUUGAGAUAGAGAAGAGUACAGCAGCCAGGAUAAUGGUAGAUGAAAUUUUAGCAUUUUUCAAGACGCACAUGAAGAAAACCCUGACUGUUAGGAUUGUGAUCUUUCCAGUGGAUGUGGAGACAUAAAGGGCUUUUUGUGCUGAAAUGACGAAGAGGUCCAAUGAGUUGAGUCUCAGCAGUAACAGUGGUGAGUAAGAAAUCAAGAGUCCUACAGGCAUUGUGGUACCUGGAUGGGGGCAGAACAAUCAAGAGUUCAGGUC